rnacentral:rRNA from 1 species
CACUCCUGCGGGAGGCAGCAGAGGGGAAUAUUGGACAAUGGGCGCAAGCCUGAUCCAGCCAUGCCGCGUGAGUGAUGAAGGCCCUAGGGUUGUAAAGCUCUUUCACCGGUGAAGAUAAUGACGGUAACCGGAGAAGAAGCCCCGGCUAACUUCGUGCCAGCAGCCGCGGUAAUACGAAGGGGGCUAGCGUUGUUCGGAUUUACUGGGCGUAAAGCGCACGUAGGCGGACUAUUAAGUCAGGGGUGAAAUCCCGGGGCUCAACCCCGGAACUGCCUUUGAUACUGGUAGUCUUGAGUUCGAGAGAGGUGAGUGGAAUUCCGAGUGUAGAGGUGAAAUUCGUAGAUAUUCGGAGGAACACCAGUGGCGAAGGCGGCUCACUGGCUCGAUACUGACGCUGAGGUGCGAAAGCGUGGGGAGCAAACAGGAUUAGAUACCCGGGUAGUCC